UACGAAGGGGGCUAGCGUUGCUCGGAAUCACUGGGCGUAAAGGGUGCGUAGGCGGGUCUUUAAGUCAGGGGGGAAAUCCUGGAGCUCAACUCCAGAACUGCCUUUGAUACUGAAGAUCUUGAGUUCGGGAGAGGUGAGUGGAACUGCGAGUGUAGAGGUGAAAUUCGUAGAUAUUCGGAAGAACACCAGUGGCGAAGGCGACUCACUGGACACGUAUUGACGCUGAGGUGCGAAAGCGUGGGGAGCAAACAGG
rnacentral:rRNA from 1 species